GGUGCUCCCAGAGGCUGCGCCCUGGGACACCGCUUCUAGAGAGGAGUGGUUCACACAGGCGCACGGGGUGGGGACAGACCCUAGCAUCGGAGCCAGACCCCGUCACCGCACGGGCCUGAGAAACCAGCGAGGCUCGUUACAAGGCCAGGCGCCUGUGAGUCACACUUUGCUGCUCCUGUUUGAGUUCUCAGAUAUCUAGAGUAGUCGUUAGGUAAAUACACAUCGACAUGCUCCUUCUCUAGCCACUUCCGCACCAUGUGCCCAUGGCAACCAGGAAGGCAGCAUGGAGAGGCCCUGGGGGCGAUGAGGGAGCUGCCGUAGAGACCCACAAUCCGCCGCUGUCAUCACUAAGAAACAAUUUUCACAAAACUGCAAAAGGUCAGUGCACUGAAAUACAGAGAGAAGCCUCAAAAGCAGACAAAGCCUGCCUUUUUUUCCAUCACGCGGAAUACUUGAUGCUCAGAAAGCUUGGCUGUUGCCUUGAUAUAGUCAGACACGGGGCUGUCCCUAAACCUACAAAAUGCACCACUUCUUAAACGGAUGCCUGGAAGUGCUGAAUAUCUGAUUUUAGCCUGUUAAAUAUCUCUGCACAAAAAGCAACAUUAUAUUCUCUGCUGCACCCUGAGGAACAUCUGCAGCUCCCAGAACUCAGUCUGCCUUGGUCUACAUUACUGUUUUCACUGCAGUCCUGCUUUUCUUUCUAGGAAGGAUGCCAAACUUGAUCUACCAACCCCUGUAGAUGAAAGCUGCAUUUGUUUCUGUCAUUGCUAUUGAUUAAUAUAUUUGUAGGAUAGUCCUGCCUACUGAGAUGAUGGUUCAAAGCAUAUGUGUGUGUUUAAUUUCAAUACAAAGACCCAAUUCCUUCCCUAAAAGGCUGUACUAAUCUAUAUGUCAGCCCUAAGGAAGCCCCCUGCCUUCUUGCAUCUAUACUUACAGCUAAAUCCAGUAUGCAACUAUCUAUCAGAAUACUGUAAAAUAAAUCCUCAGUCUGGAUUUAUUAAUACUGGACAUUUUUUAAAUG
rnacentral:lncRNA from 1 species